rnacentral:rRNA from 1 species
AGGGAAUCUUCCACAAUGGACGAAAGUCUGAUGCAGCAACGCCGCGUGAGGGAAGACGGUUUUCGGAUUGUAAACCUCUGUCCUUGGUGACGAAACAAAUGACGGUAGCCAAGGAGGAAGCUCCGGCUAACUACGUGCCAGCAGCCGCGGUAAUACGUAGGGAGCAAGCGUUGUCCGGAUUUACUGGGUGUAAAGGGUGCGUAGGCGGCUCUGCAAGUCAGGUGUGAAAACUAUGGGCUUAACUCAUAGAUUGCACUUGAAACUGUGGGGCUUGAGUGGAGUAGAGGCAUGCGGAAUUCCCGGUGUAGCUGUGAAAUGCGUAGAGAUCGGGAGGAACACCAGUGGCGAAGGCGGCCUGCUGGGCUUUAACUGACGCUGAGACGCGAAAGCAUUGGUAGCAAACA